AAUGCGAUACUUGGUGUGAAUUGCAAAAUCCCGCGAACCAUCGAGUUUUUGAACGCAAGUUGCGCCCGAGGCCUCCCGGCCGAGGGCACGCCUGCCUGGGCGUCACGCCUCGCGUCGCUCCGCCUACCCCCCCGCCCUGAGAGCAUCGUGCUCUUGCGGCGGCGGGCGGCGGAUGU
rnacentral:rRNA from 1 species